rnacentral:sRNA from 1 species
CUUUAUCUCAGCCUCUGGAAACAUGUUUCCUAAGUCUGUUAGUAGGCACGAGAAGCUGCCUUCUUCCUGUCCACUGCCAAGAGUAUCUGCCUUGCAAAAGGCUUUGGGCCAGAUCAUCACCUUGCAGAACCUGCUUCACUGGGAAAGAUGCCGGGCAGCCUUGGGGGAGCCGUAGGUGGGAGCAUCAGCAAAGGCCAUAGGAAAUGUUCUCUCAAGAAGGGCCACAGAGAAAAAGAAGAGCUUAGCUGCUUUCCAGACUGUCCUGGCUAUGAGGACCCGUGAGUCCCCAACUCUGCCAUCUAUCUUGUCAAGUUUAAUGAAGCCGCUUCCUAACAUCCUUACCUGCUGUUUGUAGAAAAGGCUACCGAAUCCCUCUCUCUACCAUGAACUUAGCUCUUGAUGUACUUUAACUGACGUAAAACAGUAACACAGAAGCACUGGAUGUGUGGUCAGGGGAAGAAGGCGGUCCGACUGUGAUGCCGGAAUUCAGAGAAUUAACCAGAGAGAUGGCCGUCCCCGGAGGGCCUGUGUUCUCUCGGUCCUAUCAUGUUGCACGGCCACCACCACUAGCAGUACUUCACACGUUCUUUGUAUCACCUGUGUUCAGAGGUAGAGCAGUGACUUCUGGCCACCAUGCAUGAAAAGCAACCGAAUCAAAAUCCAGACAGCAACAAUCUCCUGGGAGAUGUCCUGUCACAUGUUUUUGAAACAGUUUCACUCUCGAGCCUGUGCGCAUCCGAAGUCUCCCAGAUGCUGAGGUUCCAGACAUGUGUUACCACAUUCAGCUGAGUGUUAGAUUGUGUUGUUGUUCUGAGUUUCUAGGGACUCUUUAUCACAGAAGUGAUAGCUUGGUCAGGGAGGAUCGGACGGAACACGGUCCCAGAGAAGAAAGACCCAAUCCCAAGGCCGUGAGCACUCAACAAAGUGUAGGUUCCCUCGGCAUCCAUUUCUGUGACUUGCAAAAAUUCUAGGCCUUGGUCUCUGAAUGGGUGACUGGGCCUUAGAGUUGACAUUUCUGAAAGAUUAAACAUCUGUUGGCCCUCAAAACCCAUUUGUCUUGCACACUUAGCUUUUAUGGCAUCUUACUCCCAAGAGCAACAUGUUACAAGCCCUGUGGCAGGAGGGAGAAGAUAGGCCAUGCAUGUCCCUUCUCAUUCUGUGCUUCAUUGAAUAGGGAUUUUUAUGCCAGUAUGUCUACAUCACAACUGGGCUUAUGCAUGGUGUGUACAUGAACAGAUUCAUACAACUACACACACCCAGAUAUCCCAUGCACACUGGAAACCUUUCCUGGGUAGCUUUGCUCAGUAGAAGCUACAGAUGAGGGCAAAUACUGCGGAGGACCUCCCUGCAGGUGCUGGGAAUCCCCCUGCCUCCUACCCCAACCUCCAUGUUGGCCUAGGUAUGUGUGGAGAAGAAACUGCAUCUGUCUGGCUUGGUCAGGAAAGCAGAGGCCAUGUACUCUUCAGGCAAACAACAGAGUCCAUCAAAUAGAGCGAGAAGAUUCUCAAACCAGAAAUCUUCAGAGAGGGUCCAUUGGCCUCUAAACAGCAUCGUGCUGUCUGGAAAGAGAGAUCCCUUAGAGAUGAUCCCUCUCAGCCAGAGCUUUGCGGGACACAGCCAGCCUUUUUAUUCUCUCUAAUGACUACCGACACCACCUUUUCCAGAAAGGAAGCAGAAUCUGAGGAGACCAACGUAGACCAGUCAUGAGCUCCGGUGCCUUCAAGCUCAGGGAUUGGAUCAGUCUGAGGGUCUAAGGUUCCACCCACUUCCUCGCCGGCUGAGGGGAGGUCCAAUUCAGGUCUAGUCACUAAUGGCCUGCACACUGGAACCAGAAGCCUUUGGGGGGCAGGUGUGGGGGCAGGGGGGAUACGACUGCCAUUUCCUCUGAGCUCUCCCCUGGUCUCCCCUGAACAUAAUUCCUGAGCAGUGACCUCCAGCAGAGUGUGAGGUGACUUCCUUCCAAGCAAUGACAGAGGGGAACGACAGAGGAAUACCCAGGCUUUUUGGUUCUGGGGGUCACAACGCCCCCAAACAAUCUGCACGUGGCUCUCGAGAGCUCAAGGACCAGUUUAAGGUAGGUUUCAACCUCAAAUUCUAAGUAUGCCUGAUCUUCUGACCUUCCCUCCACCCCGCCCCCAGAAAAUUCCAAUCGUGGGGAAGAUAAUGAGGCCCCCAAGUUACUCCUAACAGGACCCAGGCUAGACGCCCACCCGGUUACACCCACCUGGCUCAGAGAUCUGAGGCAGGCGAGGCCCUGAAAGGCCGUGGUCUAUAGAAGCAGUUUUCUCUCCCAAGACAUCACGCCCUGUGGUACCCAUACACUGAUGCUGUCAUAGUAGAAACAUGGAACCCCCAAAUUCUCCAGAAAGAAGAAGAACGGGUGCCACCGCACCCUUUUUACCUUGAUUUCUCUAUCUGGGAAGUGGGCCCCAAGGCCUUCAACUGCCUUUAGGGAUAUCUGUGGGCUAACCAGUUUCUACAAAGCUCUUUGAGGUUCUGGGUGAGAGGCGGUAGAGUCGGCCAUCAGUUUGUUGUGGACCCUUAUGUUGUCUGGGUAUCAUGUCCUCCCUAGAACUCAUGUGGUCUCUUCCUGUAAGCUGCUGUGGGAGAGUUACCAGAAGGGAGGCUCCUUGUGACUUCACUGUGGUGCCUGCUGAGGUCCGAGGGCUCAGUUGCCCACCCAUCCAGGAAAGCCUAACAUUCAGGUAGAUUCAUCUGUUAAUAGGUUAUGGUCAGGCAGCCUUUGUCUACCUAGUCUGUCACUCACAAUGAACAGCAUGACUUACAGCUGGUGUGAGCGCUACCAUCCCCUCCAUGGCCCCGAAGCUGCUUUUUUUUUUUUUCUGUUUGCUUUGCUGAUUGUGAAUACUUCCUUCAGAAGAGGAAAAUGCUGGCUGUGCCCUUUUGGGUGUGGAGGUGCCUGGAAACGCUGGGCUGUGAAUAGGCAGAUGACGUGGCGUGGGCUUGCAAAGGUUCAGGAUGUGUAAUGAGUGACACGCUGCCCUGGAGGCAGUCCUGUUAGCAUGUGUGUCGGAAAUGGCGAUUAACCCCGAGAGCCUAAUUCUGCCCUUCCUCCCCCUCCUUCUUCCUUUCAUUCAGUAAACAUUUAAAAGUGGUGCUGUGUCAGGCACUGUUCCAGGGUCUGGAAAGGACCAAGAGGAAGGGAAAGAUCUCGGCUAGAGGUGAGUAUGGAGGGAAAGUCAGUGUAGAGGGACAAGAACGAAGGUGUGUCACAGGUGCCCUGGAGAGCUUUUGGGUCCCACAAGGAAAAGUAUAAGAAGGUUCCAGAAAGAAGUAAGGCUCAGGUGGAGUGAGCACAGAAGGUGUCUGAAGGAAAACAGACCCAAGUAAAGUGGUUUAGACUUGGGUUAUCCCUUUCCUGGCACCACAGUGUUUUAGACAGAAGCAUGGUCGCAGUGUCCUCUUAAUGAGGUCAGUUCAAAACCAGGACAGGGCCCAGGAAGAAGGGGUGGCUGUCACAGCUGCCUGUGGCUGGCAAAGGCCAUGGACCCAGAUAUCUUUUUGUGUGCUCCAUGGGGAGCAGUCUCAAGCAGGCAGCAGGCCCUUUUGAAGAUCAUGGACCCCACUGUGAAGAUGGUUUUCAGUGCAGUCAACAUAGUGAUCCUGAGAAUCCAGGCCUGUGGAUACUUGCAGGGAAGUUGAAGUUCAGUGAACUGGUGAAUGAACGCCGUGUUGGAAUCCAGGAAAGCUGGGGAAGAAACAGAGGUAACCUCGGUUAAGCCCAAGGUUUCCCUUAGCCACCCUUCCACUCAAGGAAAAGUGGCUCCUACUUGGUGACGGUACCUUCUUGAGAGACACAAAGAUGAUUAAUUAAUGGAAAUUAACUUUAUGAAUAAUAAAUACUCAGUCGGAUGAAGUAGCAUUUCCAUCUGUCAGAUCUUCUGCUGUAGCCAUUUAACUACAGCUGGAGCGCCAGGAAAACCAUCAACAGAAAAAAAAAACCCACAUCAUGUUGCGUUCCGUUUAAAGUUGUAUCAAAGGCUCACUAAGCAAGUGGAGGCAUGAAAAGCAGCCAAACCCAGAAAUGUGGCCUUGAAGCCCUGCCUCACCUGCUGUCCCACAUGCAGCUGGUGGCUCACUCUGAACUCUGCACUGGUCUAUUGUCAGUCAAAUCCGAACAUGUCAAAAUGAGUCUUUCCAUUUACAUUCUACUCACAAGGAAAUGAUGGGCGUCCUUUUUACUGUGCAAACAGCAUGCAUGUUUUCUCGGUACCUCAGUAGCAUAGCCUCCGGGUGUAGACAAGCUACAGUCAGUCAUGUUUGUUGUAGAGUGACAGACACUGUGGAGUUGGUGUAUACUCUGGGGAAGGCUCUCUUCUGCUCCUCAAGGGGGAUCAACACAUUAUGUCAGACCCUACAGUGGCCUUGAAGCUUCCUUUCAGUCUCCUUGCCUUUCCGCAGUGCGUGUGGAAGAGGCACACGAUCUGUAGUUUCAUCGUGUGAACGUGAGACAAGGGAAUUGUGAAGGUUCUUCUCUCUCAUCUUGAAAGGUCGUCUCAGUGUUCUGCCUUCCACGCCUGCUGUUUAAGUUCAUACUCACCAGUACUAGGUGGUCUCACUGGUUCUGGACAACUGGAAAGAUCAGUGAAAUAAAAUAGGAAGUAUUUUGUAACUGAGUGAAAAAAAAA